rnacentral:misc_RNA from 1 species
UCUCCGUUGGUGAACCAGCGGAGGGAUCAUUACCAGAGUUUUACAACUCCCAACCCUUCUGUGAACCUACCUAUCGUUGCUUCGGCGUACUCGCCCCAGCGUCCGGACGGCCCCGCGCCGGCCCGCGACCUGGACCCAGGCGGCCGCCGGAGACCACACAAUCCUGUAUCGAUCAGUCUCUCUGAAUCCGCCGCAAGGCAAAACAAACGAAUCAAAACUUUCAACAAUGGAUCUCUUGGUUCUG